GACGACGCUGGCGGCGUGCCUAACACAUGCAAGUCGAGCGAAUGAAGUUCCUUCGGGAACGGAUUUAGCGGCGGACGGGUGAGUAACACGUGGGCAACCUGCCUCAUAGAGGGGAAUAGCCUUCCGAAAGGGAGAUUAAUACCGCAUAAGAUUGUAGUACCGCAUGGUACAGCAAUUAAAGGAGCAAUCCGCUAUGAGAUGGGCCCGCGGCGCAUUAGCUAGUUGGUGAGGUAACGGCUCACCAAGGCGACGAUGCGUAGCCGACCUGAGAGGGUGAUCGGCCACAUUGGGACUGAGACACGGCCCAGACUCCUACGGGAGGCAGCAGUGGGGAAUAUUGCACAAUGGGGGAAACCCUGAUGCAGCAACGCCGCGUGAGUGAUGACGGCCUUCGGGUUGUAAAGCUCUGUCUUCAGGGACGAUAAUGACGGUACCUGAGGAGGAAGCCACGGCUAACUACGUG
rnacentral:rRNA from 1 species